ensembl:lncRNA
CUCUAACAAGGAUCAGAGUAGGCACUGGAGAUGAAGCCUACUGCGAGUUCCUCUCCUAAUUUAUCCUCCAUCCUAACACACCAACAGUCCUUGACUUUAGUCUACUGGUUAAAUGAGGAAAGAAGUAAUAAGCAGGAACUAUGACCCAAGUCCACCAGAGAGCAACGAUGAGCAAAAACACCUCAUUUCAUGCCCAUAUGGAGCUCACAGUCAAAGGAGGGUGACAGAUGGAUCAAACCAUCCCAUAGCUUACUUCGAAGUCACAGCUGGCAUCAGUAUUACAAAGAGAAGUUACAGGGUUCCAUGAGAGUGUAAGAGUCAAAAUUAUGACCUACUCAGAGAUGUCAAGGGCAGCUAAGAAAACAAGAGAUGGAAAAACUGGGGCCCAGAGCUUUCCCCAAGGCCAACCAGCUGAUCCAUGCUAGAGCAGAGGAUCAAAUUCAUGCGUAUCUGGCCAUGGAGGCCAAGCACCCACCAUCAUACUGCACUGUCUCUCAAAGCAGAAGAACAUAAGGACCGUUAUUUAGUGGAAUAGUUACUAUAAUUACCACCAACACCUAGAUUAUAGAAAUGCCUCUUUUUCACCUAUAUACAUCUCAUGAUUAGUGGUCUAUUUGGUAGUGUUUACACUGUUUCAUUUUAUAAUUUCCUUGUGUAAAAUAUAUUAUACUGACCCUUACAGAACUGCCAUUUUUAUAGGUUAAAAAUGGUCAAAUAUUAUGGUUUCAGGUUUUAAUUCAUACACUCACAUAAGCAAAACAUGUGAACUGUUGAAUAAAUUAUUAUAAAAUGAACAGGUAUGGCACCACCAUCCAGAUGAAGAAAUAGAAUGUUCACAAUGCCCCGAAAGAGCUCUGAGUUCCCCUUCCCCAUGAUGCGUGUCCAGGGGUGUGCCGAGGGUGGGGGAGAUGACUGAUCCGCCCCAGGUACAGACAACAAGGAGAGAGAGUGUUGCCCUUAAAGGACAGCCCACUGUAGACACGCUUGGCACACCAUGCGUGCGUCUGCUCCAAUACAGUGAUUCUCAACUCAGGGGCAGGAAGAAAGCCAGGCGAAAUGCUUCUUCACCAACUCCAACACGACGUAGCUUCCAGAUCAUUUAGAGCAACUCAUCACAGCCUUUCCACGCGACAGUUCUGAGGGUUAAUGAACUGUAGGGAAGAACUGUUGACAGUCACACUCCCUUCUCGGACGAAGCCCCAGCUUCCAGCCCCAGCAGCACAAUGAAUCACCUCGUUGUCCAUUGUCCCAGAGCCCAUGACUGCUGAAAGGUGAGGCCCUGGAUUGGCCUCUUCCACAGUCAGCAGUCUUUAUGGUGCCGCACUUUCUCUGGGUCAGGCAAACUCACAGCCGUGGUCCCAGCCUGACAGCCAGGGCACCUGCGUGUUGAGCUCGGCUCUCAGCCGAGGUGCACUGGAGGCUGGUUUCCAACAUAGCUUAAACACAAUUAACUUUUCAUUUGAUUCUGGCUGCCUCUCUCCACUCCUAAUGUUCCCUUAGGACCUAGGAUGCAAUAAAGUCCAGCCUGUGACUAAGAAGGCUAGGCAGAGAAACUGACCAAAUAUUGUCCAACACUAUAUUACAAACCUAUAGGAAAGGAGUUUAAUUAAAGACCACAACAAUUCUUUGGGGAAAUGUUUCUUUUAUUAACCAUUCCUGCCGAACAAAGCAGCUUUAAACAAACCCUGACUGCUUGGAAAUUGUGUAUGCCUGAGAUUUCUUUUUUCUUCUUAAUCUGUUCUGCUUUUUGGUUAUUUGGUCAUUAGGAAAAUCAGAAGUGUCUUGGACCCAAGAAAUCCAAUUUAAGUAAGCUCAUUCCACAUUUAUAAAUAUGAGCAGAUGACAUUUAAAACAGACAAACCAACAGGGACAGUCUUAAGUAUGAAAUUGUUGUUUAGCAUAAAGUAUUACCAUAAAUAUAGAGGGGAGCUAUUUGUGGAUAAACUAACAAGUUCAGGGCAUUUCAGUGAAAUCUAUGCACAGCCCCAAUGUGGAUACGACAUUUAUAAAUGCAGAGGAAAUGCAAUUCUUUUAUGCGCUAGUGUAAUGAAACCACUAGUUAGUGUCACUGAUAUGAUAGCACCAACUGGAAAAGAGUGAAUGAGAAAGCAGAAAUAAAAAUGCAAGAACCACAUCUAACGGAGCAAUGAAAUUGGAUUUUAAAGUAUUAUUGGAAAAGAGGAAAUACCACGGAGGAGCAAAGACAUGUGUAUGAAUUUUUUUAAACCCAAGGAAAGUCAGAGGAUAUAUAAAUUUAAAACUGACCCGUGAGUCCACGUGAACCUUCCAAGGCCAUGCAGUUAGCCACAGGCACAUACCAUGUGGAGACUCACUCUUCGAGAAGGGGCGCGGGACAAGGAGAACACGUGAAACUGUGCUCGCUUUUCUCAAAAAUGCCAAGAAAAUUACAAAGAAACAGAGCAAACAUUCGGUAAACGCAGAGCUUAUUAAGAAUGCAUGAUAAAAUUCUACCACCAACAUUUUCGUGACCAAUAAAUGCACCUGUUCCUAAAGUAUUCACAGAAUAUGACUCUCUACCUAGACAUGCAUUCUCUAGAAGAACUUUCCUUGGCCUAAUCCUAAGUGAGUUACAUGUGGCAAAUUUUCCAAAGAUGGCUUCUGCGACGUCCCUCCUCCCAGAUGUUCUUUUUGCAACGAGAGCUUGCAAUGCCCCAUCAGGUGGUGGAGUCUAUUUCUGCAUCCCUUUGAAUCCAGGCAGGCCCCGGGAGUGCAUUGACCAGAGUUAUACAGCGGAAGUGACCCUGUGCCAAUCAUACUCAUAGCCCUUAACUGGGCUAGUGGCUUCCAGUUCCCACCUCUUGAAAGUCGGCUGCCAUAAAAAAGUAAUUAUGGCAAGACCACUAUGCUCUCUCUGAGUAGCCGAGCCACAUGGUGCCGAGGAGGAUGUGGAGAGAAAGAGAGGCCAAGGAGCAUUAUUGGCACCAGACAUAUGAUUGAAAAGGCCAUCUUGGAAGAGAAUCCUCCCACUGCAUAGGCCCAGCUCAUGGCCUGAGGGUCAGAUUCAAACUGCCUGGCCACGUCCCUCCCAAAUUCCUGACGCAAAAAAUCGAAAGCAAAAUAAAAGGUCUAUCUUAAGCUACAAAUUGGGUAGUUUUCUACACAGCAAUAGAUAACUGGAAGAUUAACCUUCCAUAUUUGAACUUCAACUGGAAAAUGUGUAUUUUGCCCCAGUUGAAUUCUAAGGUUUUUACCCUUCUUUGAAAUUUUGAGUCAUGCAACUUUUCAAUACUUCUUCAGAAAUCUCAAUGCUGCCAAUAAAUCUAAUGUUCAGUUUUCAUUAAUGAAUUAGGAGAAAAUCUCAGUGUUUCUCAAACUGCAUUCUGGGGACCACCUUCAUUUGAACAACUGAGGUUGGUUAUUAAACAUGCAGAUGCCCGGGCCUCACCUCAAACCCACUGAAUACUGAUGUCUGAGGGUAGGGCCUAGAAACAUGCCCUUUUAAACACUCCCCUCAUAGCCAACAUACGCACAUUCUGGCUUCCUGACCCUCUUCAAUUC